AUUGAACGCUGGCGGCAGGCCUAACACAUGCAAGUCGAACGGUAACAGGAAGAAGCUUGCUUCUUUGCUGACGAGUGGCGGACGGGUGAGUAAUGUCUGGGAAACUGCCUGAUGGAGGGGGAUAACUACUGGAAACGGUAGCUAAUACCGCAUAACGUCGCAAGACCAAAAAGGGGGACCUUCGGGCCUCUUGCCAUCGGAUGUGCCCAGAUGGGAUUAGCUAGUAGGUGGGGUAACGGCUCACCUAGGCGACGAUCCCUAGCUGGUCUGAGAGGAUGACCAGCCACACUGGAACUGAGACACGGUCCAGACUCCUACGGGAGGCAGCAGUGGGGAAUAUUGCACAAUGGGCGCAAGCCUGAUGCAGCAAUGCCGCGUGUAUGAAGAAGGCCUUCGGGUUGUAAAGUACUUUCAGCGGGGAGGAAGGGAGUAAAGUUAAUACCUUUGCUCAUUGACGUUACCCGCAGAAGAAGCACCGGCUAACUCCGUG
rnacentral:rRNA from 1 species